rnacentral:rRNA from 1 species
GACGAACGCUGGCGGCGUGCUUAACACAUGCAAGUCGAACGGAAAGGCCCUGCUUGCUGGGUACUCGAGUGGCGAACGGGUGAGUAACACGUGGGCGAUCUGCCCUGCACUUCGGGAUAAGCCUGGGAAACUGGGUCUAAUACCGGAAAGGAGUCAUUUUUAGUGUGAUGGUUGGAAAGUUUUUUCGGUGUAGGAUGAGAUCGCGGCCUAUCAGCUUGUUGGUGGGGUAAUGGCCUACCAAGGCGGCGACGGGUAGCCGGCCUGAAAGUGUGGACGGGCACGUUGGGACUGGGACACGGCCCAGACUCCUACGGGUAGCAGCAGUGGGGGAGAUUGCACAAGGGGCGCGAACCAGAUGCAGCUACGCCGCGGCGGGGAGGGCGACCUUCGGGUUGGAAACGCCAUUCGCUAGGGACGAAGCUUUUUGUGACGGUACCUAGAGAAGAAGCACCGGCUAACUACGUG